CUUAGAUUUAUUUAUUUAUUUUUUUUUAAUUUUAUGUAGGUUGAUUUAUAUAUGCGUUUUUUAUUCUCAUGAAAAUACUCGGCUACAUAAUUACUUGACAUAUUCAAAAUAUGCUAGGAAAUUGUAAAACUUUUCAACACGUGCAAAAAUGUGCAUUUAUAUAGUCAUUUUGUUUUGUCAUAAAUUAUAUAUAGUACAUAUAUCCCACAGGUAUACUGAUGAUGACCGACUGAAGAAAACAUGAAAAUUUAAUGGGAAGGAUAGUGACAGAGAGGAUUUCCUCCUCAAAUCCAAUUUAUUUAAGGCUCUAUAAGGCCUUGAUACCAAGAGGCUGACCUGUCCAGUUUAUGCUUGGAAUUGGGGAAGAUUUAACAUAAAAAGAAGUACACUGUGGGACUGUAUUUUAAGGAAUUGACUGAAAUAUCUUGCAAGAAAAGCAGAUACUCCCACAAGGUGGCCUUUGAUCUGGACUGUGAUUGAUGAAGGAAAAACUGCUGUAUUAACUGAAACUCAUUUUACAUCAUAUUAGCUUGGGCAGUUUAUUUAUUAAAAAUGUGUUGUGGAUUUGAAUUGCUGUAAACAAUCAUGACAUUUUAUGAGUUUCUAUAAAUAUCAUUAUGAGUGCAAUAAUUCAUUUGAAAAAAAAAAGCAUGGAUCAAAAUGUUUAACAUAUGGGACUUGAAAGAGUAAUAUGGCUUUGAAAAUUUAUCACAAUAUUUUAAGCUUCAAUAUUUUAUUUUACAAUAUUAAAUGUAUGAUUUGUAGUU